AUUGAACGCUGGCGGCAUGCUUUACACAUGCAAGUCGAACGGUAACAGGUUAAGCUGACGAGUGGCGAACGGGUGAGUAAUGCAUCGGAACGUGCCCGGUCGUGGGGGAUAACGCAGCGAAAGCUGCGCUAAUACCGCAUACGAUCUGAGGAUGAAAGCGGGGGACCGUAAGGCCUCGCGCGAUCGGAGCGGCCGAUGUCAGCUUAGGUAGUUGGUGGGGUAAAGGCUCACCAAGCCAACGAUCUGUAGCUGGUCUGAGAGGACGACCGGCCACACUGGGACUGAGACACGGCCCAGACUCCUACGGGAGGCAGCAGUGGGGAAUUUUGGACAAUGGGCGAAAGCCUGAUCCAGCAAUGCCGCGUGCAGGAAGAAGGCCUUCGGGUUGUAGACUGCUUUUGUACGGAGCGAAAAGGUCUCCUAAUACGAGGGGCUCAUGACGGUACCGUAAGAAUAAGCACCGGCUAACUACGUGCCAGCCGCCGCAGUAA
rnacentral:rRNA from 1 species